UGUUAAACAUUUCAUCCAUUUCUUAUUUAAAACUGGCAUGGCUAACAGAAUAACCAAGUAAUAACACGUUGUUGACGUACAAAAACCAGUUUUUAAUAGUAAAAUGGAUGGAAUUUUCAACA
rfam:Gossypium hirsutum cultivar TM-1 chromosome 6, whole genome shotgun sequence